rnacentral:rRNA from 1 species
UACGUAGGGUGCGAGCGUUAAUCGGAAUUACUGGGCGUAAAGCGUGCGUAGGCGGUUCGUCAAGUCUGAUGUGAAAGCCCCGGGCUCAACCUGGGAACUGCAUUGGAAACUAGCGAGCUUGAGUGUGGCAGAGGGGGGUGGGAAUUCCACGUGUAGCAGUGAAAUGCGUAGAGAUGUGGAGGAACACCGAUGGCGAAGGCAGCCCCCUGGGCUAACACUGACGCUCAGGCACGAAGGUCAGGGGAGCAAACGGG